rnacentral:rRNA from 1 species
AGAGUUUGAUCCUGGCUCAGAUUGAACGCUGGCGGAAUGCUUUACACAUGCAAGUCGAACGGCAGCAUAGAGCUUGCUCUCUGAUGGCGAGUGGCGAACGGGUGAGUAAUAUAUCGGAACGUGCCUAGUAAUGGGGAAUAACUAGCUGAAAGGUUAGCUAAUGCCGCAUACGACCUACGGGUGAAAGCAGGGGAUCUUCGGACCUUGCGUUAUUAGAGCGGCCGAUAUCUGAUUAGCUUGUUGGUGGGGUAAUGGCCUACCAAGGCGACGAUCAGUAGCUGGUCUGAGAGGACGAUCAGCCACACUGGAACUGAGACACGGUCCAGACUCCUACGGGAGGCAGCAGUGGGGAAUUUUGGACAAUGGGGGCAACCCUGAUCCAGCCAUUCCGCGUGAGUGAAGAAGGCCUUCGGGUUGUAAAGCUCUUUCGCAAGAGAAGAAAACUUGCUAUUUAAUAAAUAGUAAGUAUGACGGUAUCUUGACAAGAAGCACCGGCUAACUACGUGCCAGCAGCCGCGGUAAUACGUAGGGUGCAAGCGUUAAUCGGAAUUACUGGGCGUAAAGCGUGCGCAGGCAGUUUUAUAAGUCAGAUGUGAAAUCCCCGAGCUCAACUUGGGAACUGCGUUUGAAACUGUAAGACUAGAGUGUGUCAGAGGGGGGUAGAAUUCCAAGUGUAGCAGUGAAAUGCGUAGGGAUUUGGAGGAAUACCAAUGGCGAAGGCAGCCCCCUGGGAUAACACUGACGCUCAUGCACGAAAGCGUGGGGAGCAAACAGGAUUAGAUACCCUGGUAGUCCACGCCCUAAACGAUGUCUACUAGUUGUUGGUGGAGUAAAAUCCAUGAGUAACGCAGCUAACGCGUGAAGUAGACCGCCUGGGGAGUACG